CUUGGUCAUUUAGAGGAAGUAAAAGUCGUAACAAGGUUUCCGUAGGUGAACCUGCGGAAGGAUCAUUAUUGAUUUCAAAUGAGAUGUGCUGGCCCCUUCAAAGGGUAAUGUGCACUCUCAACCUUUACAUCCACCUGUGCACCUUUCGUAGACAAUAAGGAUUCACGUCCCUGUCUAUGUUUUUAUUACACAUGAUUUAUUAUGGAUUGUAGUGUGGCUUUUCAAGCCAAUAAACUUAUACAACUUUCAACAAUGGAUCUCUUGGUUCUCGCAUCGAUGAAGAACGCAGCGAAUUGCGAUAUGUAAUGUGAAUUGCAGAAUUCAGUGAAUCAUCGAAUCUUUGAACGCACAUUGCACCCUCAGGUCUUUUCCAGAGGGUAUGCCUGUUUGAGUGUCGUUGACCCAUCAAUGCAGACAAGUCUUUUUUGAUUUGCUUUCUGUACUUGGAAGUUGAAGGCUGCCGGCGUCAUUGCCAGCUCCUUUUAAAUUUAUUAGCGGGACUUUGAAGACUCGGCUUCAGUUUGAUAAUGCAUCUAUGCUGUCGCCGAAGAACGUUUGUCUGGCUUAUAGCUGUCCCUUUGGGACUGUCUCUUAUGAGGCACAACGCAAUCAACUCUUGACCUCAAAUUCAGGUAGGACUACCCGCUGAACUUAAGCAUAUCAAUAAGCGGAGGAAAAGAAACUANCCAGGAUUCCCCUAGUAACGGCGAGUGAAGAGGGAAAAGCUCAAAUUUAAAAUCUGGCAGUCUCCUUUGAUUGUCCGAGUUGUAAAUUAGAGAAGUGUUAUCCGCGCUGGACCGUGCAAAAGUCUCUUGGAAAGGAGCAUCAUAGAGGGUGACAAUCCCGUCUUUGGCACGGACUACCAGGGCAUUUGUGAUGCGCUCUCGAAGAGUCGAGUUGUUUGGGAAUGCAGCUCUAAAUGGGUGGUAAAUUCCAUCUAAAGCUAAAUAUUGGCGAGAGACCGAUAGCGCACAAGUACCGUGAGGGAAAGAUGAAAAGGACUUUGAAAAGAGAGUUAAACAGUACGUGAAAUUGUUGAAAGGGAAACGCUUGAAGUCAGUUCAUGUCCUUCAGAAAUCAACUUUGAUCUUCGGGUCGAGUGCACUUUCUGUUGUGACGGGUCAGCAUCAAUUUUGACCGCCGGAGAAAGGCUUGGGGAAAGUGACAUCCUUGCUGAUGUGUUAUAGCCCCUUGUACGUAUACGGUGGUUGGGAUUGAGGAACGCAGCGCAUUAACUGGGGCGAAUUCUGCUCACACAUGUGCUUAGGAUGCUGGCUUAAUGGCUUUAAUCGACCCGUCUUGAAACACGGACC
rnacentral:rRNA from 1 species